rnacentral:misc_RNA from 1 species
GCCGCUCAGGUCCCUUCCUCCACUAUACACAAUCAAUUGUUAAAUCAAACACAUAUGAAUUUUAGGAAGUUAAAAACUAAACAAAAAAACCACCUGCAGCACACAUAGUAGCCAGACCACCAAAACCAAAUUGUGUUUUUAUCAUUUAUAACAAUUUCAACUAUAUGCUAAGCCAGUGGCAGGAAAUUCAUUUAAAAACAUUCUAGUUUAGCAGAGAUGAUGUGCUUCAGCAGGACCCAUAGAUUUAAAUAACAGUUAUGUACUAUUUCGGGUGAGAGUCACCAUU